rnacentral:pre_miRNA from 1 species
AUUUGAGUCACAUGGGGAUCUGGUUAAAAUGCAGAUUCUAAUUCAAUGGCUUGGGUAGGGUCUGAGGUUCUGUGAUUCUGAUAAGCUCCCAGGUGAUGCCCGU